GGUUGAUCCUGCCGGACCUGACUGCUAUUGGAGUAGGACUAAGUCACGCUAGUCAAAGGUGCGGAAUGGCGCACCUGGCGUACGGCUCAGUAACACGUAGUCAACCUACCCUAAGGACGAGGACAACCACGGGAAACUGUGGCUAAUACUCGAUAAGAAAUUUGGCCUGGAACGGUAUCUUUCACAAAACCGGCUCGCCGUGAGACACGGGCCUUAGGAUGGGGCUGCGGCUGAUUAUGCUAGAUGGCGGUGUAAAGGACCACCAUGGCUACGAUCAGUAUGGGCGAUGGAAGUCGGAGCCCAGAGUCGGCUACUGAGACAAGGAGCCGAGCUUUACGAAGCUUAGCGGUCGCGAAAACUCGCCAAUGCACGAAAGUGUGAGUGGGCUACUCCAAGUGUCAUUCUUACGGAUGACUGUCGCUCAGUCUUACCAGCUGAGAAAGGAAGGAGAGGGCAAGGCUGGUGCCAGCCGCCGCGGUAAAACCAGCUCUUCGAGUGGUCAGGACGAAUAUUGGGUCUAAAGCGCUCGUAGCCGGACAAGUAGGUUCUUGGUUAAAUCCGACAGCAUAACUGUUGGUCUGCUGGGAAUACCGCUAGUCUUGGAAGCGGGAGAGGACAGAGGUAGUCAUAGGGCAGGGGUGAAAUCCAGUGAUCCUAUGGCGACCACCGAUGGCGAAGGCAUCUGUCUGGAACGUAUUCGACGGAGGGGGGCGAAAGCUAGGGGAGCGACCCGGAUUAGAUACCCGGUUAGUCCUAGCCGUAAACGAUGCGGACUAGGUGUUACAGCGGCCAAGAGCCACUGUAGUGCCACAGCGAAGGCGUUAAGUCCGCCACCUGGGGAGUACGGAUGCAAGUCUGAAACUUAAAGGAAUUGGCGGGGGAGCAC
rnacentral:rRNA from 1 species